GCGGUUUAAAUCGCAAACAUUUAUUUCUCACAGUUCUGGAGGCUGGAACUCCACGACCAAGUCACUGGCAGAUUCAAUGGCUGUUUGCAGGUGGCCGUCUUCUUGUGGGGUCCUCGUGCGACAGAGAGCAGAGACAGAGCCGGUUCUCUGGGCCUCUUCUUAUCAGGCCACUAAUUUCAUCACGGGGCCGCACCCUCAGGACUCAACUACAUUCCACAGGUCCCCUCUCCUAAUGCCAUCACAUUGGGAGUUAAGGCUUCAACAUAUGUAUUUAGGGAGGACGCACACAUUUGGUCCGUAGCGAGAAUUCAGACUCAAGCCCUUGCCUCAGGCUCUAAUGCACCCAAACCCAGCAGCCACGCACCGCACACCCUGGAGAGCGUGCAGGGGACCCCUGGGUGGGUGAGGACAGGUUUUGGGACUCAGGAGCUAGUCCCUGGGUUUGUCUCGUCAGCCUUCGCCCACCCCUUGACCUCGAAUGGGCCUCCUGACCCAGAACAUGGGGAUCGGGGCCUGGGAAGGUUGAGGGAAGCAUUAAAUGAGGUGGCCCUUUGUCAUGUAUCUGGCACCCCAUAGGCGCUCAAAUGGUGCAACGAGGAUGCCACGGCCCUAACCUGCAAACACGUUUCCACGACUUCACGCCGGAGGCAGCCAAAACGCUUCCCGGCUGAAGGCUCGGGCUCGGGGGUGAGGCCAGGGCCAGUGGGCUUCCCCAGCUCACCUGCAGAAUGUUCUGGAGAAAUAAAAGGAUCCCUCUGAGUACCUGCUGGGACUGAGUGAGCAUUCUUAACUUACACAGAGGGUCUUGCUGUCUGCAAAGCGUUUUAGAUUCUCAAUGCCUUUCAACCUCCAGCACCUUGGGAAUUCCACUCCAAUUCUUAGUGUGGGAAAGUGAGGCUCCGAAAGGUCCAAAGGCUGUCUCGCUGGUUC
rnacentral:lncRNA from 10 species